GAUGAACGCUGGCGGCGUGCCUAAUACAUGCAAGUCGAGCGAACAGACGAGGAGCUUGCUCCUCUGACGUUAGCGGCGGACGGGUGAGUAACACGUGGAUAACCUACCUAUAAGACUGGGAUAACUUCGGGAAACCGGAGCUAAUACCGGAUAAUAUAUUGAACCGCAUGGUUCAAUGGUGAAAGACGGUUUUGCUGUCACUUAUAGAUGGAUCCGCGCCGCAUUAGCUGGUUGGUAAGGUAACGGCUUACCAAGGCGACGAUGCGUAGCCGACCUGAGAGGGUGAUCGGCCACACUGGAACUUAGACACGGUCCAGACUCCUACGGGAGGCAGCAGUAGGGAAUCUUCCGCAAUGGGCGAAAGCCUGACGGAGCAACGCCGCGUGAGUGAUGAAGGUCUUCGGAUCGUAAAACUCUGUUAUUAGGGAAGAACAAAUGUGUAAGUAACUAUGCACGUCUUGACGGUACCUAAUCAGAAAGCCACGGCUAACUACGUG
rnacentral:rRNA from 1 species